AUUGAACGCUGGCGGCAGGCCUAACACAUGCAAGUCGAACGAGUGGCGGACGGGUGAGGAAUGUCUGGGAAACUGCCUGAUGGAGGGGGAUAACUACUGGAAACGGUAGCUAAUACCGCAUACCAUCAGCGGUGCCCAGAUGGGAUUAGCUAGUUGGUGGGGUAACGGCUCACCAAGGCGACGAUCCCUAGCUGGUCUGCGAGGAUGACCAGCCACGCGGGCACUGAGACACGGUCCAGACUCCUACGUGAGGCAGCUGUGGUGAAUAUUGCCCAAUGGGCGCAAGCCUGAUGCAGCCAUGCCGCGUGUAUGAAGAAGGCCUUCGGGUUGUAAAGUACUUUCAGCGGGGAGGCGUUACCCGCAGAAGAAGCACCGGCUAACUCCGUGCCAGCAGCCGCGGUAAUUC
rnacentral:rRNA from 1 species